rnacentral:rRNA from 1 species
UGCAAGUCGAGCGCGAAAGGCCUUCGGGCUGAGUAGAGCGGCGGACGGGUGAGUAACGCGUAGGAAUCUACCUGGUAGUGGGGGACAACUUGGGGAAACUCAAGCUAAUACCGCAUACGCCCUAUGGGGGAAAGCGGGGGACCUUCGGGCCUCGCGCUAUCAGAUGAGCCUGCGUAGGAUUAGCUAGUUGGUGAGGUAAAGGCUCACCAAGGCGACGAUCCUUAGCUGGUCUGAGAGGAUGAUCAGCCACACUGGGACUGAGACACGGCCCAGACUCCUACGGGAGGCAGCAGUGGGGAAUAUUGCGCAAUGGGGGCAACCCUGACGCAGCCAUGCCGCGUGUGUGAAGAAGGCCUUCGGGUUGUAAAGCACUUUAAGUGGGGAGAAAGGCCCGUUGGUUAAUAGCCAGCGGGAUUGAUGUUACCCACAGAAUAAGCACCGGCUAACUCCGUGCCAGCAGCCGCGGUAAUACGGAGGGUGCGAGCGUUAAUCGGAAUUACUGGGCGUAAAGCGCGCGUAGGCGGUUUGUUAAGUCAGCUGUGAAAGCCCCGGGCUCAACCUGGGAACUGCAGUUGAUACUGACCGACUAGAGUACGAGAGAGGGAGGUAGAAUUCCAUGUGUAGCGGUGAAAUGCGUAGAUAUAUGGAGGAAUACCGGUGGCGAAGGCGGCCUCCUGGCUCGAUACUGACGCUGAGGUGCGAAAGCGUGUGGAUCAAACAGGAUUAGAUACCCUG